rnacentral:rRNA from 1 species
GGAAUAUUGGACAAUGGGCGCAAGCCUGAUCCAGCCAUGCCGCGUGAGUGAUGAAGGCCCUAGGGUUGUAAAGCUCUUUCGACGGGGACGAUAAUGACGGUACCCGUAGAAGAAGCCCCGGCUAACUUCGUGCCAGCAGCCGCGGUAAUACGAAGGGGGCUAGCGUUGUUCGGAAUCACUGGGCGUAAAGCGCACGUAGGCGGAUCGUUAAGUCGAGGGUGAAAUCCCAGGGCUCAACCCUGGAACUGCCUUCGAUACUGGCGAUCUUCGAGUCCGGGAGAGGUGAGUGGAACUCCGAGUGUAGAGGUGAAAUUCGUAGAUAUUCGGAAGAACACCAGUGGCGAAGGCGGCUCACUGGCCCGGUACUGACGCUGAGGUGCGAAAGCGUGGGGAGCAAAC